UGAAGCUCGGGAACUUUCUGCUGUCAUGACCUUGAGAGCUCCUUGUGAAGGUCAGGAACUUUCUGCUGUCAUGACCUUGAGAGCUCUUGUGAAGGUCAGGAACUUUCUGCUGCCAUGAUCUCGAGGCUCUUGAAGUCAGGAACUUUCUACUCUCAGGAUCUUGAGAACUCCUUUUGUAACGCAUUCGUUUCAUCCUCAUCAUUAGCAGAAAGUAGAAUAGCUGUGUUUUGUUCACAAGGCAGCAGAUUAAUGCUUUUGGAUUUCUAGGACUUAAGGCAAAGAGAGUUUGCUGACAUGUCUCUUUUGUUGUACCUGUUCAUGUUUAGUACUGUGUAAUUACUGUAAACUUACAAUUCCUUUAAGGUGAUAAUCAUCGUGUGUAACAGAUAAUGGAUAUUUAGACAAUAACCAAAGAGGCAUGAAGAAAUCAAGAUUUUCCCUCCCAAGUGAAUAAAUGGUGUUAAUCCCACGCAUUUGGA